CCGUCCGUUGCUCAUGCGCCGAUCUGCGCCCUUCGUCCUAAUCUGUUUCGCGAACCCCGCUAGCCCCCGAGUCCAAUUGCCUCCUUCCUUCCGCCGCCACCCCCCGAGGCCUCCUGCCUCCUCCCUUCAGCCACCCCGCGAGAGCCUCGGGCCGCACCGCCGCCGCCACAAGCGCUGCACCGCCGCCGCGGCACCCGCCUCCUUCGCCGCCCCUUUCGCGUCGCUCGAGGAUCCUGCACGCCGCCGCUGCACCACCGCACGCCACCUACCCUCCGCGCGGAGGAGGCGGCGGCGGCGGAUCUGUCCCGCUCCCACCCAUCCCAGAAACAGAUCGUCCUGCGCGUCCCUCGCCCUCGACCUCCCAGGCCACUGCGUGCCCUCGCCCAGGCGCUCCUAGAUGAGGAGGAGGAUGGCUACCACGGGGACCCGGUUCCGCCACCGCCGACGCUUCCUCAGCCGCUGCUGCCGGCCCUGUUGCCGCAGGAGGCCUCGCCGAUGGACGCGGAUGGACCCAUGGAGGAGAAGGAUUGCUUCAUCCUUAGCCAGGAUUUCUUUGGGUCGGUUCCGAUUCGAGCUCUGUGUUGGUCUUCUGACAGUAUGGUUUCAGUCUACAUCACGCCGGAGAUGACGCAGGUGGCCAACGAAUUCGAUGACGAUAAGGAGAACAUCCCUUUUCUUUCAGCUGCAUUCGUGAGGAAGGUUGUAACUUGUAACAUCGGUGUCAUGUGUUUCCAGGUUCUCGUGAGAACAUAGUUUGAUACUUCACAUCUUGUUUUGAGAACGAGCAACUUUGUAUUCAAAUGGAACUAUGUGAUUGUUGUCUAUCUGUGAAUCUAAACCAGCCACUGAAGCAUUGGGAAGCCUUGGAACUUCUGUAUCAGGUUUGAGACUUUUAGUUACGAAGCCGUCGUUUACCAAUUUUAUUUCUUCUUGAUCACUUAUCAAAUGAAUACAUUCAUCUUUACUUCCUUCAUAUCUAAUCUAAGCCACCUACCUAUUUAAUAUUUGACUGUAAAAAGAUUACUUUAUUGUAGUAUGAAUUUAGAUACUGCAUUGACCUCCGUUAGAAAGGAUUGGUGUACUUGUUUCACCAAAUAUGGGCUGUAAUUGGCCACCCACAAUUUCUGAAAGAACAAGUCAACAAAAAAACUUGCCAAAACAGGAGGAGCGAUCAUUUCAAGAACCAUGAUCUUUAGUACUUUAUGUUAAAGUUUAUUAUUUAGUUCUACCUUUAUUGAUGAUACGGUACUUGGUUAAUUCUUUUGUCUGAAGUCUGAACUGCCUGACCUGUCCUACUUUUAUAAAUAUAAGUGGGGCAUAAUGCUCUUGCUGCCUUGUCGGUACCUUUUGCCUAUGCAAGGAAUGUGAGAGCAAGGUGAGCUUCUACCCUCUCUGUAAGAUACUUCCCAUGGAGAUAUAUAUGUAGGAUAUAAUUUAUAUACAAAUAUGACUAUCUUACUGGGUAUUUCUAUGUUAACACAUUAAUCUAUAAUUGUAGAACCUAUGUCAAAUUACAAGUCUGCAAUGAGUUAUAAGCUGUUCUCUUCUAGCCCAUUUACUUUUAAACCUUUGAGAAUUGGACAAUGUUUCGGAUUGCCACACAUUUUUUAACAUCAUGAACUGUAAUUGAAAUUAUCUACAAAGUUAGCUUCUUCCGAUAAGAUAAAAUGUUGUGGUAUUGGCUAUACGCAUCUUUACUAAAUAACUUGCGAUUCAUUGGUUUUCUUUGCAGGAUUUAAGGCUUGGAAACUUUUUUUUUUGCAAAACUGAAGCAUAAAAGCAAGCACAUUUGGCAGGAAAAAAUAAUUAAGAAAGAUUUCUUUUGUACAAAUUCAGUUUUAAUAUUAUGUCUGAGUAGAUAAUUUCCUCCUGAAACGGAAUCCUUUAGGUCCUGCUCCGGUGCAUCCAUCAAAAUUACCAGUGUCCAUCUUACCUAUUAGAGAAUGCUUGCAGAUGAACUGAUUUUGGUACUUGAUUCAUCUACACUUUAUUUCUUUUCCAUGUUAAUAGCAUCUGAAAUAUUUUCCUUUCAUUGGCAAACUAUACUACUUUUCUAAAAGCAUACCUUACUCAUUGAAAUAACAUGGAUCAACUUAUUGCAGAUCUAUUGAGGGGGAUUUGGAGAUGUUGUCUCAAGCAAAAAAGAAGGAAGUGAGAAGUUGCUUGGACAAAUUGUGCCUACAUUUUGUUUGCUUUCAGAACUGAUCUGGAAAUAGUUGGGAUCCACACGGUGGCAGAGGUGAUGGAGAAGGUCACUGGCGAGGUCGCCGACGCAUUCCCUAUCAAUGAAAAUCUCAAGGAGGCUACCGACGCCUCGAAGAUUAAGGCGGUCACCGAUGUGAUGGAGGAAGAUGCUGAGAAAGCCAAGGCUCUGAUCCAGAAGUUGCCAGUGUGAGGGAUGGUGGUCGUGCUGAUGGAGACGAUGAUGGGAAGUGGCAGCAAAGGAGGUUGCCGCUAGCUGCUAGCAGCACGCCAGUAUGGAGCUUACUCUGCCAGCGUCUGGGUGGUGGAAGUAGGAUGAUAAUUGUGCGACAGAAAGAUUACAUGAAACUGGCAACGGAAAGAAUCUGUUACCAAUUGUUCAAAUAGCUAGGUAGGCAUUGUAUUUUUUGACAAUUAUUUGUACUUAUGUUUAAAACAAAGUGCCGGCAAUGGAAAGAAUCUGUUACCAAGUGUUCAAAUAGCUAGGUAGGCAUUCUAUUUUUUGACAAUUAUUUGUACUUUUGUUUAAAACAAAGUGAAUGCUUCUAUUAUACAUGUUGUUACAAAAUAUUAUACAAUGAAAAUUAAUGUUCA